UACGAAGGGGGCUAGCGUUGCUCGGAUUGACUGGGCGUAAAGGGCGCGUAGGCGGUUUGCACAGUCAGACGUGAAAUUCCUGGGCUUAACCUGGGGGCUGCGUUUGAUACGUGCAGGCUUGAGUUCGGAAGAGGGUCGCGGAAUUCCAGGUGUAGCGGUGAAAUGCGUAGAUAUCUGGAGGAACACCGGUGGCGAAGGCGACAUCCUGGACCAACACUGACGCUGAGUGAGCGAAAAGCCAGGGGAGCAAACGGG
rnacentral:rRNA from 1 species